rnacentral:snRNA from 1 species
AAAUAGACAAAGAAAGGAGAUACCAUGAUCGCAGAGGUGGUUUUCCCAGUUUGAGGCUGAUCCGUUGCACUUUGGAUAUGCUGACUCUGCGAUUUCCCCAUACUUUGUAGUAGUUAAGGACUCUACUUGUGUUCUCCCCUGU